rnacentral:misc_RNA from 1 species
ACACACGGUGGUGGAGGGGAGCAGCCCAGGCGUGAACGCGGGCACCGGCACACGGGAGCCAAGAGCACGCAUGCGCACACAAAUGCAUUCAUUCUGCUACACUGGCGAGCCGCGGCGCUGAGAGGCAUCUCCUGAAGCGACUUGGUUUUGUUGUUGCUUGCCCGUGUGGAGGGCUGGUGGCGGCGCACAUUCCGUGUUGCGGCGCCGCGGUCAGCGCGGUGGCUGUGCCUGCGGGCCGGCCCACCCGCCGCCAACGACUGAGCGGCGGGAGACGGCUCGGAGGGCCUGCCCGAUGGGUGUGCGCACCGCGUGGGGAUGCCCCGGGCCGGCAAAAGAGGGGCGGCGCUGCCUGCACGCUGCCGGGGGCAAUGGCGAAGGGGAGCUGUCUGCGGCGUGUGUGCAAGGGCGCUGUGGCACAUGAGGGCGUUGUGCGGCACGGCCCCGCAAAGGAUGUGCAGCUGUUCGGCAGCACGCAUUUCCACGCGGCCGCUGCUGCUCAUACGCGGCGCGCUUCGUUUCGUUUCCGUUUCGAGGUGCAGAGCUGCUGCGGUGCAGCCCCUGUGUGCGCGUGCCUUCCGUGCGUGCCUGCGGUGUCUAUCCCCGCUGUGUGCAGUGGACGGGGCGAGCGGUGACGGCGCGGCGCAGGUGGUGUCGGCGGUGGUGUGCCGCGCGUGACGGCCGCUGUGUCCUCUCGCGCUGCCGUCAUCGAUGCGCCUUCUGCUCUCUGGACGUGUGGAGGAGGGAUGUGCGGGCGGUGCGGAGUGGGCGGUGCUGCUGCCCUCCUGCACACACGUACACAGCGGCCCCUCGCCCCCUCCUCUGCACACGCCGCUCGAAAGGCCUCACACAGGUGCACCCACGACAACGCGGAAGGGGGAGAGCGGCGCCGAGAAGCAGCGGACGGCAGGCCCUGCAGCUGCGGCUCUCUGCACACGCGCUCCCUCGCAUGUCGACCUCGCUGUGCGCGGCGCGGUUGCUUGGCUGCCGCGGCCACACGGAGGGGGCGGUGCAAGACGGGAUGAGCGUCGGAGGGUGGGGCCAGGCUUGUCAAGGAGUGUGGCAGGUAGUGCCCUCCGUCCUCUCCGCUUGGAUGCCUUCAGCGGUGCUUCCGUCGCGCCCUCGCUGCCGCUGCGGCGCUUCUCGCGUCCGCCGGCCGCCUCUCCGUACGUGCGUGCCUUGCGUGCAUGCCGAGAAGUGGCCCAUGUGCUCCCGCUGUGCACGCCUCGCAGCGCCACGUGCCCAUGUCCUCGCCACUCUCCCCGCAUUUCUCUCUCUGUCUCUCCCUCUCUCCUCCCCGCUUUCACUCCUGCCCACACUCCACAUCCCUCCUCCUCUAACGGCACACACACACACAUGAGCGACACCGUGUGCGUGCACGUGUAACAACAACAG